rnacentral:rRNA from 1 species
UACGGGGGGGGCAAGCGUUGUUCGGAAUUACUGGGCGUAAAGGGUUCGUAGGUGGCUGGCUAAGUCAGACGUGAAAUCCCUCAGCUCAACUGGGGAACUGCGUCUGAGACUGGUCAGCUUGAGUGCAGGAGAGGAACGCGGAAUUCCAGGUGUAGCGGUGAAAUGCGUAGAUAUCUGGAGGAACACCGGUGGCGAAGGCGGCGUUCUGGACUGCAACUGACACUGAGGAACGAAAGCCAGGGGAGGCAAACGGG